CCAACGUGCACUGUGCUAUUUUCCAUCCGUGAGAUAACAGCAGCUUGCAAUCCAAAGCAGGGUCUGCUCUGCUGGCAUUUCAUCCCCCUUCUUUUUGGAUUCAGUAGCAGUGGUGGCUCAGAGCUGGAGGGCUAGACCACACUCUGCUUUUUGGUGGUGAAAACCCCUCAGAUCCAUCCAGAGAUUUAACUGGAGUAACAACCGAGAGAAAAGAUCAGCUCAGCAUGUCCAAGAUUAUUCAAGUUGCUAAUAUUCCUGACAAAAGGAAAUGUUUAUACCCAUUCGGACAUUUUCCAUUUUCACUUUGAAAAUACAACUUGCCUUCCCAGUGAUAGGAAAGAGGCUUGCCUCACCUCCACCUCUUGUACCUUUGCAUGAUAUUUUUUCAAAUGUUUCUCAUACAGCAUUUACAAAACUUGUGCUGGCAGCCUCUUGCUAAUGCUUUUUAGCUUUGAGAAAGCUUGUGUUUUUUGGAGUGCAUUUUCAUUCAGUGCAAACAAGUAGGCAAGAUCCUUCACCUUGGUGAUCUUCGGUUUUUAUUUUAGUGUAACUGUAAAGCAAAGCUGUAAUUUCACUUCAAAGGAAAUCUUCUGUAUCCAUUUCUAAUUACCAACCUGUAUCCCCACUACUUUUCUUGACUACACCAGUUGAAUUUCAGCCUAAAUUCCAUAAUUUUUGCCACUGGAUGAGUGAAGGUCUGACCUUACAAGGAGCUGCUGCAUCCGUGGACUUUUUCACUGUGGCCGUGGUUUUCCUGAGUGGUGCUUGAUGGGGUGGAGGUGCCAGUUCUCCAUCACCUUCACUUGUGAGAUAGCACAGAGACCUCUGAUGGGGUUGGGAAAGGAAACAGAAGGAAGGAGGGGAAGGGGAAAAGGCUGGUGAGUGACCAUAUAGUGCCUUGUGGGCCAUGCCAAAGGGAAUCCCAACAGGCUGGGCUGCAGCUCGGGCAGGGGGAUGUGAGUGAAACGAGGUGGGGAGGGCUCCUGGCUUCAUCCUGCCUAUGCUGCAGCAGUGACUUCUGUACAGAAAAGCAGCCAGAACAGCAGCAGCCAGUGACAGCCGUUGAGCAAUGCCCUUGUCACAGCGCCAAGGAGAGGGGUGACAGAUUUUCUGGUGUGGAACCUGGCUCCUGAGUCCUGGAGAAGGAGAGGAGGGCUGGUCCAAAUGCAUGGAGCUUCCAUCAGGAAGCAUUCAGGCUGUUUUCAUCCUAUAGCACAGACUGAAAUUAAGGCAAGACAGGUAGGUGCCUCAUGCGUUUGAACUCUCCAGCCAUGGGGCAUCAAAAACUUAGCAAGAAGGCGCAGAAAGAACCAAAAAUCACCACUAUCUAAUAAUUCUAUUGAGCCUCUAUGCUAUCAGAUGAUAUGUGGUGAAGUAGAUUAUAUUCAAGCAGAGUUUGGAAUAAAUCUCAAACAAGUCCUUUGGCUGAAGCAUCCUUGAACCCAAGAUAAAGAAAUUUCUAUCCCUUAGAUAUGUUCUGUCAACCAAAUGCAGCUUUUUGAAAUUUAUAGUUUUUGCAGAAAUCAGGACGACAUAUUUUAGGAUAGUCCAGACAUCUCUGGCUGCCUGGAUUUCCUCGGUUUAGCUUUGUUAGUUCCCCUCCUCCUUAAAAAAAAUAAAAUAAAAAAAUCAAGAACCUUCUUAACCUCUUCAUUGGGUACAACUUACAGCAAACAAACAAACAAGCAAACAGUCUCCAUCUGGAAAAAAAAUCUGGCAAAGAAAAUAUUGUUAGGGGAAAAAAAAAAGGGGGUUUCUCUCACAGAUAUUAACCAUUACUCUGAGAGAUGCAUUCGUCCUUCAGAAAUGAGCAGCUGUGUAAAUCAUUAGGAGGUUGCUAAGGAUUAAGGCUAGCCAAAAUAUGUUCUUUUACUGUCUUAAAUUUCCUCAAUGUAAAAUAAAUGUAAGCUAAACUGCUCUAACUGCGGAUGCUGCCACUGCUUACACAGUUUUGAUAGGGAUGGAUUAGGUUCCUUCUUAAAUUGAUUUGAUACCUGCAGGUGUGAACACAUGAUACGGCACAUCUGUAAGGGGAACCGGAGUCACAGGAAAGUGCUUGGAGCCCACGUGCUCCAGCUCACGGCCAGGGCUGGCUUCCGUGCACACUUCUGUGUCAUAGUUAUGGGAACCCAGGAUAAUCAGGCACAAGGUACGUGUAGCUCCCCAUGGUUAUUGGGCUGUGUAUUUUUGAAGUUCUCAAGAGAAUAACCUGCUGAAUGUUAGCAUCUCUGAGUCCAGGAUAGGGCUCUGGUUCUGUACUGCAGUCCCAGGUGCAUGGUGUUCCUGAGCCACAGGCUACAAUUUUCAACAGUAAGGGAUGUUAAUGCCUUUUGCCACACAAGAAGUUUGUUUCAUUCUUUUAAUGCUAAGUGUACGUUUAUCCAAAAGGCAACCCUCCCCCCCAGCCUUAGUUUUCAUAGCUUUGUCUCAUCUCAGCUCUAUGCCUCCUUCCAUCAAAGCCAGAGAUGGUGUUUUACAAGAUCACCCCAAAGGGCAGCAGCAAGGUGAGAAAUGGUGAUUUGAGUAUAUUCUGAUAAAAUGCCAGUUUGUGCUUUAUAGUUGCCUAUUUCCUCACCUUCCUUAGAAUUUUAUUAAUUCUGGUAAGAAGCAUUUAUUCCUUGACUCUAAGUGACUUUUUGACCCUUGGUAAUGUUUUUCUGUCCUUGAUGGAUCUUGAUGCAGACUUCUUAUUAUCAUCAGCUGUGCGUGAAUGCUUGGUAAUAGAUCUGAACGAAAAAGGGCAAUAUUCACCCCUCUGAAGAGCUCCUCUGAAUUCCUUGAACCCUUGAAAUGCUCCCAGGAAUGCACAUGGCUUUAGAGUGGAAGCUGUGCAGGGCAGCAGGGCUAGGCAGGACAGCGGGGAGCAGGGAAGCUGUCACCCUGUGCUUGGUAAGCCUGCUGCCUUCCAGCACAGAUCAGAACCUGCUGGGGUAUGGACCACACUGUCUGUCGACUUUCCAUGGGGACUGGGCUGCAAGCAAGCAGGGAUGCUUGUUUUAUCCAUCCUGAAGCUGACCCACUGUGCCAGACAGGCUGCUGCUGCUGCAGAGCGGCCACAGGUUGCAAAUACCCACAGGGAAGGAGGAAGAGUGGACGGCUGCAAGCAGCAGCCUUGGUUUUGAGGACCUCCUGUUGCCUCCUCCCACCGCCCUCAGCUCCUGAUCCCUCUGGAUCUUGUACCUACAGGACGUGGGGAGCUGCAGCCAGCACAACCCAAAGCUCUGGCUGAAGCAGCACUGGUUGAGCAGAAAAGGCAAAUUCCAUUCUUGUAGCACAUGCUGUUUUGCAAUCUCAUCAUUUCUCUGGACCUUGCUUACAGAAGAAGGCAUGGCAGUGAAUCAGCAAGUUAAGAAAGUUAACAGUUACAACAGAAGCAGUUUAAUUACAGCAAGAUCUUUACCUUGCAGAAACAACAACAUUUUAAAUUAGAUUUCAGUCGCACUUGUCAAGAAGAGGACAAGUCUAGAGAUCAGAAAUUCAGACUGUGUCACUUUGGGCAAUCUGCUUUGCAUCAUGUGCUGAAUUGGCUUGGUUAAAAGGAACAGCUGGCAAGAGGUUUUUGUUUUAUUUUUAUAUUUUUUUGCUGAUCAAUUUUAAAUCAAAUUCUUUCAGAUGUGUUUUGCUGCUAGCAAAGGCUCUCUGCUGCCUGGUUAGUGUGUUUGUGUAAUUAUUUUAGGUGUUGUUUGGAUGUGCAUAUGAUGCCAAACAGUGUAACUGGAUGAUGGAAAGCCCAGGCCAGGUGACAGUGGUUCACAACUCCAGGCAUGCAGGCUUUGAAGCUUUAGCUGCAGACUUUUCUAGCAUCCUUGCUAUUAAUUAGUCUUCAGAAUUUAAUAAUUCAAUACUCUUUCUGCUACAGCAUGACAACAGCGAGCAUAGCUGUUUCGCUGUAGAUAACAAUAACAAAAUAUUCCUAAUUUAAUAUUCUUGUUCUCUCCCAGCACCCCAGCCAGCCCCCCUCCUAGAUGGCAGCUGCUUUAAAGCUCAGCUCCUGCAGAGGCCUGUGCAGCAUCCCCAUGGCUCCGGGUGCCCGAAUUCAGCUGACAGCUGGUGUGUGUCAGAGGUGUGCCCCCAGGGCUGGCACACAGGUACUAGACAUUGCCCUCGUGGUUCCUGAAACAGGUGAAGCCACUGACGUCAGUGGGUGUACUGGAAUUGGGCAGGUCAGAUAUGAAUGAGGGCAAAUGCAAGGCGAGGGUAAUUCAGAGGCCACUUCACAUUCCUUUUCUUGAGGCUGAAGCUUAUGGGGUUGUGUGGUUUUGCUGUGCCACGUUCCCCCUGGAAACAGGAGUCACACUGUCACACCUGCACCUGGAGGGAAGGGAGAUAUGGAAAGUAGCUCCAGUUACCACACAAGCAAAAAAUGUCCUGUAAAUCUGUGAGAUGAUGGACAUCUGGGUGUAGUAGCACAAACACUGCACGGGCUGAGGAAUGACUGACAGUCACUGGACGGAGCAUUUCGCUCCCCUGGAGAGCUGCCAGUGGGGUGAUUAAAUCCCACAGAGUACCAAGAAGACCUCACCCAGGAUAUCAAAGCAGCCCCGUUGCUUCCAUGGAAACUGGAAAUGCUGUGUUACGGCAUGUGCUUUAGCCUCACCCAGAGAAAUGCACAGCCUGUUCCAAGAAGUUCCAUUGAAGCAGCAACAACAACAAAAAAUGACAGAGCCAACCCAAAGCAGAGGUCAGGGGAGUGCAGCUGAGAGGAUGCUUUGUUGUCCCUUCAUCCUCUCGACACGAGAGCAGCACUGCAUGCUCCACCAGCUGUGCCAGGUCCUGCCUUGCCUCCUGCGCUUGGUCAGAGAAAGAAGUGAAGUUUCCACGUCUUACUCUGUCUGCACGGGAUGUCAACCAUUAGUAUUCAUAACAUAUUGGCAACUCAUUAAAAAAAAAAGAAAAAAAAAAAGCGCUUCUUUUUGGUUAGAGAGAAUGUAACAAAAUAAAUAGCAUCUCUUUGCUAAAGAUGAAAUACCUAAAUUAUAAUCAACAAGUUUACUUUCCUUGAGUCAGAAACCAUGAAUCAUCCUGUAAAAUCAGAUCAAAUUCAAGAUUAGUUUCUCAUGGUAUUGCUGAGGAAUUUCAGAUAUUUCCAUUGGGAAAAGAGUUAUUUCUUUAACCGUCCCAAGGUUAGUUUGUUUAGUAUUAUUUUUUUCUUGCAUAAUGAGGGUUGCCCAAAGGUAAGGAAUGUCAAGAUCUAAAUGUGGAGUGAAAAAAAGAAAAAGAAAAAAAAAAGUAAAAAAAAAAGUAAAGAAGUGAGAUUAGGACAAGAUUAAGAGAACAAGGUUAAGUGGAGACACAAAUCAGACUAUUCCAGCUAGGCAGAAAGUUCAUAAAAGCUUAUGACUGUCUUGUUAAAUACUGCACAAAAAUAUAUCAAAUCUCUGGCUAUGGGACACUUCUCCAGCCCGUUAUAUGUGUUGUAAAUAGUGCAAUGGAGCAAGCUAUUAGCACAAGUUUCUGAAGUUUUCUGUAUUGUGUGGCAGUCUUGCAGCUGCCCAAUAUCUGAGAUACAUGCUAAGGUAUCAAUAAACCUGUGAGAUUACUGAGAGCAUUGUUACCAGGUUCUAUUGCAGAUGCCAGAACCUGAAUUAUUCCAAAGCAUUUUGCAAAUUCGGGGGCCAUUUGCUGCACUCAUUUGGGGGAAAGCAGGCUUAAAAACAGGUAACAUAUUGCCUUUUCUUUAUACCUGCUGAUACUGGCAGGUCAUACUUCCUACUCGUGUGCUGCCCAGCAAAACAGCUCCCUGUCCACGUGUCCAUCUUCAUCGGACUGUUGGCUCACUGACCCCGAACUGGUGGUAUUGUUGUGAAAUCAGAGGCAGUGAGAUGAGAUACAGCUUCAGGAAGGUGCCAACAUCUGGUAGAUGGACCAAGAUCACGAUGCGUUUUUAAGGAAUGUAUUUUUCUAGCCCAGCUCUGGAGGACUCCCUGACUACACAGGAGCCACAGAACUUCCCAUUUCUUCACCAGUGACCUAUUAAUGAUGCUGGACAGUGCCUACAUGCUCACCUUCAGCUUUGUGGAGGCUGCUGCUGGUUUUGUAGAUCUGAGGCAACAAAAUGCUGGCUCUUGACCUGGCAGAUGGAGCAUCGGUAUGAGCAUGGCUGCAAGGACAAGCCUUCCCCAUCCUCCAUCAAGCCUGCAUGCCAUCAACAGCCCCAAAGGGGACAGAAAUGCGUGCCCAACACUCAUCCCACCCCACAGCAGCCAUUUCGGAGUGGCACAUGGCUGGAGACCAUCCUCUGCUUUCUGCCAUUGUCAGCAGCCCGUGGCAGGAGCAUCCAGAGGGUGAUUCAUCCACCCACCCUGGACGGGGUGAAUCACCCGCUGAAAGCAGCCGUCUGCCCUGGGGGACUCGGGAGGAACUGUAGACAUCCGUCUUUAAAUAGAUGCCUGACUUUAGAUCAGUAAACUUAGGGGAAAUGAAUCCCAUCCUAUGGGUUUUGCUACCUCAGGUCAGCUAGCAGAGUUCUAUUACUAGUUGUUUUUUUUUGGAAUAUUCUUCCAGUCAUGACAUACAUAAAGUCAGGCAAAGUCUUGUAUGCUACAGGGACAAUGAUGGGAAUUUUCUGAAGUGGUUUAUUUUUAUUUUUUUUGGUUAAAUAAAGCCUUUAGCCAACCACACUGAAUCAGUGGUGCUGAGCCAUAGCAGAACGUGAAGCUACAACUGCAUGGGUAGAAUUUUUGAUGCAGAGGGUGAAUAAUAUUUUGAAGUGAAAAGUAUCAUGCUAUUUUCACCUCCUGCUUUUCAAAGGAGUAGGAGAAGAGAGAGAGAAGGUGCUCAUUGAAAAUCCUGAGUUAGAUUUUUAAUAAUGUCGUUUUUUUUCCCCUACUGUUAUCCCCCCCCUUUUCCUUCACAUAGUGAGAAACUUCCCAAGGUUGCCAACGGCACUAAAGCAGUCAGUCCACUUUCAGAAUUUCAGUCACCUCUUAAACACUUAGAGGCUGAAUUGAGUGAAAACCCGUUUUCAGAAGAGUUUCCAAGGAAGUAGAAAGUUUCCACACCCUGAAUCUUGCACUCAAAGAAAUGGAAACUGGCUCGUUGCUGCCAACAGCCUGAACUGUUGUAUAGCAGGCUGCUGAAUGUUAUAUUCUGUAAUAAAAAAAUGUGAACAUGCUUGGUGCUAUAUUAAAACACACAAAUGCACUUUGAAAAAUGUAGCUGAAUUAUAUAUGUCUUUUUUUUUUUUUUCUCCUUUUAUUUUCUAGGCAUAGUGUUUUUUUUAUCUGCCUGAUAACAAAUAAAUUCUGAUGGAAUCCCA